rnacentral:rRNA from 1 species
UACGUAGGCGGAAAAUUAAGUCAGUAGUGAAAUCCCGCAGCUUAACUGUGGAACUGUUAUUGAUACUGGUUUUCUUGAAUAUAGUUGAGGUAGGCGGAAUGUGUAAUGUAGCGGUGAAAUGCUUAGAUAUUACACAGAACACCGAUUGCGAAGGCAGCUUACUAAGCUAUGAUUGACGCUGAGGUACGAAAGCGUGGGGAGCGAACAGGAUUAGAUACCCUGGUAGUC